CUGAAGUUGACUCAUUCAGGAUGAGAGAAAAGCCGCGAAGGAAUACCUGAAGUAAAAUGAUGUCAUGGCUCAGAUCUGUCGUGACACUUGCCAUGGUAACCACCACCUAGAGAUGCAGCAUCUUCCUGUCAAGGUGCUAUGCUUAGAAGAAUCACCAGGCAGAUUAAAAAAGUCCUGGUAUGGCAGGAUAAAUUAACUUAUUGAGUCUGUUAGUUCAGGUAAAUACUAUCAGUAGUUAAUACUGAAAGCCUGCUUCCUAUGUGCCAGACAGCUUCUUAAGAAUAUACAUUCAGUGUUUCAUGCUGAUAUUUCAAAAUUACUAUUCCCGUGUGUGCUAGUCUAUUUGGGUUGCUAUAUAUCAUAGAGAAGGUGGCUUAUAAACAACAGACAUUUAUUUCUCACAGUUCUGGAAACUGAGUUCACAUUUAAAGCCCCAGAAAAUUCAGUCUGGUAAGGAAAUUCAGUCAGGUAAAUAAACUCAGAAUGGUAAAGGUUCGUUUUCUGGUUCACAGGUCGUUGCCUUCUCACUGUGUCCUCACAUGGUGGAAGAGGCAAAACAGUUCUCUUGCAUCUCUUUUAUAAAGGCACUUAUUCCAUUCAUGAGGGCUGCACACUCAUAGCCUAAUCACCUGACUGAAAAACCCACCUCCAAUUAUGAUCUUAUAAGGUAUUAGGUGUCACCAUGUUAGUUUUUCCGGGGAGGGGACACAAACACUCAGUUCAUAACACCAUGUACUGAAAACAAGAGUAAAUUUUAGAGAGUGUGUGUUUUUAUUUUUUUUCCUAAGGCCACACAAAUGGUAAGUGGUAAAGUCAAAAUUUCAAAUGGUUGGGACAAAGUUUUCAAACUCAAUACUAUAUUUCCUUUUAAAUUAAUGUGAUAUUUCAAUACCUUCCUCCAAAAUAAAAUUAUUAUUUUUUUACUCCAUUUCCUCAAACCCAAAAUGUCAUGUUCUUUUACAGUUUUAAAAAGGUAGAUUGGACAAAUUUGUCACUUUGGAUCCAUUUUAAUUGAUAAUUUGGAGGCAGCAUAAGCCCAGUGUUUGUAUUCAGGCAAGCUUGGAUGAAGUUCCGAAUCAAUCUCUAUUCUAACUUGUGAUAUAAGGACAAUAAAAUUUAUUGUGAAGGAAGAUUUUAAGGUGUAGAUGAUAUAACACAUAAAAGUGUUAAGUCAGGGGCCUGGUAGCUCUAUAAAUGUGCUUGCUCUCCUUAAUUUCGUGGUUAUGUUAUAUUCACAAUGUCCUCUGUCAUAUGUGUAAACAAAAGGCUUAUGGAAUUUGGAAUUUGUUUAGGGCUAUUAUUUGAUUCUUAAAAUCUGAACAGAAUUCAGACUAAGGUUAAUCCCACCUGUCUCUUAAUGGAUGAGAUUUUUAUAUUAGUUGGAUGAAUGCCAUAGACUCUUUAUUAUGUGGUGUGAUACUAUUUUAAAAUAUUAACAUUUCCUUUUGUUUCAGAAAUGUUCUGAUAACCCACUCUUUUUGCAUUUAGGGAGAUAAGAGGGGAGAGUGCCUAUGUGCACUGCUCUCAAAGUGUGGUUGUUACAUAGAAAAGCGGAGAAAAAGUAGAAGGUAAUUUGGAUUUUGACCUUCAAAAGGUCUAAACAAAAGCAGCUAAAUAAGCACUGGCCUAGAAAUCAGCGAUAUCAAAACAAUUACAACUCAUCCAGCUCUCAGAUGCUUUGAGAAAUUCAGAGGAUAUAUGACAAUAACUGUAAACUAGUGGAGAAGAAAUAGAAAAAAAGAAGGGUACACAGACAAGAUUUGAACAUGGAUAGUUAUUGCUCCGAUCUUCGAUAAAACCAUUUGAAAAUGGACAGAGUGUAAAAUAAACCUGAAAUCAUGAAGUAAAACCUGUUUGGACUAAGUUUACAAUUAAUUAGCUAAAAGUAUGUUGUUGCUCCUAAAUAGAAAAAAGUUUGCGUUAGGAAAGUUCAAUUAAAAAAAUAGAGGACAUCUCUAUAUCUCCCUCAUAUUUGUGGAUUUUGCAAUUUGUAUGCACUGUAGUAUUCCAUAUUUUCCUCAUCUUGCUUGAUGUAUUCUUAUCAUUACUGUACAUGAGUUGAGAGCACAGCAGAGUCAGAUUGCCUGAGUUUAAAUCCUGGCUUGACACCUUAUUAGCUGUGUGACCCAAGGCAGAGAAACUUGGUCUUUCUAUGGCUCAGCUUACUCAUCUGUAAAAUGGAGAUAUUUAGAUUACCUACCUAACAAGUAUAUUAUAAAGAUGUAAACUAAAAACAAAAUCAUAAGCUUCUCCACUUAACAGAGAGGGCAGCCCCAGAAAACAAUAAACUGAAUUUCUGACCAUGUUGGAAUGGGAGGUCAGACAUGCCUCAUUAUCCCCCCUCCCUUUUGUGGUUUAGACACAACAACACAGCACCAUUAAUGUUAAAAUAGAUAUUAUGAGAGACAAAGAAGAUUAUUCGUGGCAAUAAGAUACCAAAUUAUAAACAAGACCUAAGACCAUGCCCAGGAAGGAAGUGUUAAACCACACACCCCUACACUUAAAGAAUAAACUAUGUUCUAACUGCUACAAGGUUUCUCCUUUUCUCUAGCAGCUAAACAAGCAUUGGCAUAGAGAUAAGCAAUAUUAAAACAAUUACAACUCAUCCAGCUCAGGGAAACUGAUUAACUGACUCUGUGUUCCAACAGCCAUAACUAGAGCUUUGAUUGGACAAGAGACUGAUUUCAGUAACUUUGUCCUGAACAGACCACGUUGUCCCAUAGAAGUGAUGUUUAUGGUUUCUUUUGAAUAAACAUAGAAAUUGACCCUCCCACUCUUAAAAUUUGAAAAAAUUACAGUUGUCUUAACUGAGUUCCUUUCUCAGGAUACCAACCAUCAGUCUUCCCAGAUGGUAUCAAGAUCACAGCAUUUGGUCAAUGAGGAGCCAGACCCCUCACCUGUCACGGUUGCCUGACUGUUCACCUGCUUCCUGUUGACCAACUCCUCUUCCUUUUUCUUCCCUAAUUUCUGUUUUUCUGCAUGUAGUUACAUUUCUUUCCUG
rnacentral:lncRNA from 10 species